UCCAGGGCCAAGGGCUCAUGUUUAAUGGAGCUCGAAGGUGCGCCCUUUCCCGCGGGGGGUACUCUUGCCCGUGUAGCAUAUGUGUAUUGAGCUCAUUUUCAAGGCAGGGAUCUGGGCUGCCAUCACACUGCAUGUACCUAUCCCACUUUAAUUCGAUGAGUUUGAUUAGUAAGAUUCAGCUGUUUGAUGUGCUAGCCUUGCAGCCUUACGAAUUCAAGAACCAAGGGUGGUACAGUACGUAYAUGUAGCAAAAAAAGCUACACAGAACAGAGAAAAGUCAGAACAGACGUGGAGUUGUUGGAGUGAGGAUCGAACUAUUGACCUCUAGCUCUGCAUGAAGGCUGUGCACUAACUGAGCUACGCCUGCUCCUGAGUAGUAAAAAUUUUUGCCUUCAGUUGUUGGGCAUUGUUUUCAAGAGCUUCCUUUACUUCAUCUAACUCAGCCUGAUGUCUGGCCUUCUCCUGUGGAGGGGUGUCAUA